AUCCAGAUGACGAGUCCCAAACAGGACGAAAUGCACAUCCUCGUU
rnacentral:hammerhead_ribozyme from 1 species